AACUGUGAGUUAACAUCUUUAUCUUUUAACCAGAUCAGUCCAUAAUUUCACAUUAACUUUCAUUUUUAUCAAACAAUGGUUAACCAGAGGUUAAAGUGUUUGGUUGUUAGCCGUUUUUUAUUGUCAAACCUAAAAAUUUGUGCAAUUUUUUUCAAUUGUUUUCUUGUGUAAUCAAAGUAUUGGCUCAGGGUGAGAGUUGAGCCAUCUCAUUAUUCUGGUUUUUUUGUUGUGCACCAUGAAGAGUAAAUUAAAUCCAUUUUUGAAACUUACAAUAUUUUCUACCUGUUCAUUUGGAGUGUCAACAGUGCUUUACAGAAUCAGCAGAAUAAAUAUCUACAAUUUUCUUCUUCUUCCCAUUAACUUACAACUAAUGUUACAGAUUUAAUCAUGGACGUGUUAAAGCUUUUGGGGGUAAAUAGGCACGUUUCCAUUUUCUGCUCAGGUUUGGUUAAUCUUUAAAGGAAAACAAAAAGGAAGCAAUCAUCUCCUAAAGAUGAUGGUGAUGAUAAUGAUGACUCUGAAAUUGAACAAGUAAAGAAAAGUAAAAGAUUCAAGAGAAAUGCAAGCAAAGGAUCCAAAGCGAAAAAGGAGAAAGGUGGAAAAAGGGUAAUCAAGAAGAAAUGGCAAACAAAGAAACUAUUCUGAGUUGAAUAUCAUGAUGACUCAAGGGAAUGUAAAUUAGUUUAGAAAAACUUGAAUUUAGGAAUUGUAGCUGAUUAUCAAGCUUCCUAUUAACUCCUGGCAAUAAUUAUCAUAAUCAUCGUGAAUGAAAGUAAAUUUCCAACCAGCUGAUAUUUAUACAUUAUUGGAGACCAAUUUGUCAAUAGAUUUUUCAAAACAGCAAGUAUUAAUAAUAUAUUAGUCAAUUAAUAUUAUAGUUGAGGAUUCACACAGAUUGAAAUAUCUGGUCGAGCAUAACUCAAGUAAUGAAGAAUCAAUUGAUUAAUUUUUCUUUGAUCAGCGAUUUUUCUUGAUAUACCUUUUAAAGUUCACAACUUAAUAGCAGCAAAGUAUUUGGCCAUUAUCAUCGAUCUAUUAGUUGGAGCUACCAGUGAUUGAUUAAGUUUCCUGCUGAGUACCGAUUGCCUAACGUUUUUGGCGGUUAUUUCCAUCCUCAUGAUGAUAUUUUGAUAUUGAAUUUAGUCAACAAUGUUGAUAAUAAGUCAUGGUGGAAGCAGUUAUCAUGAUAAUCGGCAACAAUGAGUUUCACUGGUUUAAUUGUAAGCUAGACAAAGGGAUCAAAGCAAUACAAGGACAAAGACCAGGAAAAUGACCAGUAAAGAUUGGGCAGUUUGUCCAUUUUUAUCCGCCGUCCAAUGUAGAGAUGCUACAGUCAUUAUUGAUCUCAAUAAGCAGUUAAACAUUUUAAUUUAUUGUGCAUUGAUUGACCAUAAUAAAGAUGUGGACUAAAAAGGAUUUGAACGGCUACUGGGUUUGGAUAAAUGAUCAAUAACCAUUUUAUUUAAGCAAAAGUGCUCCACGCAAUUGGUUUUAAUUGUUAUUUAUAAUCAGUUAAUCGUUUUCUUCAUAAAUCUUUCAUUUUCAACCUCAUUUAUAGUAAGUGAUAUGCUGUUUACCUAUUCAUCACGAGAAUGAUGUUGAUGAACAUCAUCUUGAAAAGUUAAUUUUCGCUCUCAUUGAUAACUUGAUUGACGAGAUGCUUAAAAUAAGAGUAUAUAUUUAUAUAAAUUUAAAGGUUAAAUUGUUCUGAGCUCUUAAUUGUUACCAAAUUGCUGUUGACUACCUUUUGCCUUUUUAUAAAAUGGUUAAUUUUAUUUCUCUACAAUCUACUAAUCCGUUCAUCACUAUGUAAUAGUUAUUAUGUUAAUUUUGUAACCUGAAUCAUCGUGAUUCACAUCGUCAUCUUAAUACUGAUUUGAUUGACUUGUGACUUGGUCGAUGAUGAUGGUGAUAGUGAUGAUGUUUUAUGGGGAGAAACCAAAAACAGAUGAAAAUUAUUUUGUUUUUAAAAUGAAAGUCAAUCAAAUUAUGAAAGUCUCUUAAUCUAUUUAAAGGUUCCUCUUGGCCAACAACUAUCAGCAAACAAUCAACACACAAUACAAUUUAAUUUCACGGUUCAUUCAAGUUUAUUUGGCCAUUUAAUUCACUGUAAACUAUCAACAUGACAUGCAACUUAUAAAUGGGACAAAACUCUAGCUGCUUCAAACUGUAAAUAAUUCAAUCAUCUGUUAACCAUUUGAAUUAUCAUCAAAAGAUUUAUAAUCUCACUUGCACUUUGAUUGUUUUGGUACAACAUUUAAAGCCAAUUUUCAAUCUUAAACUUGAUUCCUAUCAACUUUCAUUUUAUUACAAUCAACAAAUUUAAUUACUCCAAGUUUAAAUUUGGGUUUAAAGUAACCAGAAAUAGCUAUCAAUGUUGUCUAUUUCAUUGAGAAAAACCUAUUUCUUUAUAACAGUUUUAAUCGUCUGAUAUAUUUCACCCAAAUCAACCUUGAAUAUCUCAAUUGUUACAUCUUUGACCAACAAGUUUAUCUGAUUAUAUAAACGUUAAUAAUGUUUCAAUGCCCAUAAUUUAAUGAUCAGGAAUAGCUAUCAAUGAAGGCAAUCAAAAUAACUUGAAACCAUUUUUUGUCGAUACGAUUUUUGAAACCUUUUCUGAUUGCAGCUAAUAGCUGAUAGUUAAUAGCUGUUAAGGAUUGAAAGAUAUUAGCUUAUGAAUAGUUUGAUUGUUUACCAUCACAUUAAUAAUGCUUUUUUUGUAUUAAAACAGGAUAAUGGACAACAAUUUAUGGUCAAUGAUAGCCCUUGAAGACAACCCAAGUUGAUAAGACGAGUUGCCGGUUUUCUGGUGCAUUGUUUAGUAAACAUGAGAAAGAUUGACUCUUCAUCAUUCAUUAUUAUUCACCUAUUAUAACUGGAUUUAAGUUAUCUUUUUCAACAAAUUAUAUUGAGGCCAAAUUGUUGUGAUCAGUAAAUUACAAUUAUGUGUUAGAUGGCUCCAAUGACCUGAAGAUGCAAAUAUUUAAGUAACCAGGUUAGCUUGCUUUUUUGAGAUUUUUCUUGCCUUUUUGUUUUUUCAGUUUUGUUUUUCGCAUUAUUUUUUGCUAAUUUUGUGUGUAAAAAAUUUAUGGUCCAAAUAAAAGACAAACUAAUCAUUAAUAUUUGGUAAAUACUAGCAAAUUAACUUUGAAUAUCAACUUUAUUAGUUGAAUGUGUUAAGCAUUAAUCAGGCUUUAUAAGGUUAGCUGUUUAAUCGUAGUUUUUUGUUGUUAAAUUAAGCAUCUUUCAUCAUCUACAGUGAUACACAGAUGACUUUAAGGUAUGAUUAUUUAAAUAUUUGAUUUAAUGGAUUAAUUGGCAUCAUGUGAGAAUAAUAAUUCAUCGUUUUUCUCACAUUAACUUGUGAAAACAUUUUUAACGUGUGAACUGUUUAAAUUUAACAAAUAACUUGAUUAUAUUCAACUUUCUCUUUGACUUCUUAAUGAUCAAGUAUUCAUCUAUCAUUUGUUUUCAUUUACACAGAAAUGACAAUUAACCUGUUCAUAUGGCUGUAAGCAAGGCUUCAAUUGUAAGGCGUCGAACACACAGGUUGAUGUUAUUUAAAAAUAUCGCAUAAACUGAGCUCGAUGAUUUAAUUAAGCACAUGAUAAAUCAAUCAUAGCUUGCACAUUAAUAAAAAGCACGGUAAACAAAUUACAUGUGUAAGUAGAUUUAUUUCGAUAUAAUCAUUAAUUGAACGAAUAAAUAAAUCUUGAU